GGGCCGUUAGCUCAGUUUGGUAGAGCAGUUGACUUUUAAUCAAUUGGUCAGGAGUUCAAAUCUCCUACGGCCCACCA
rnacentral:tRNA from 1 species